GAAGAAGAAGAAGGAAGGAAGGAAGGACCUGUCCAAAUAUGGGAGAGGGAGCGCUGUAAAGCUGUCAGGGAGGGUCUUGGAGUUUCACAGUGCUAUCAAAUAUCCCGCAACACAUGGGUAUCUUUGGAGAGUCCUUCUUUUGCCUACCUCAACCAGCUUGAAGAGUCUCCACUUCUGGCUGCUCUCCCUCACUCCACCCCAGGCUGAAUUUGUAAGAUUCCAUAUAUUAAGAACUAUGCCUUCUUGGAGUGUUUCUUGCGACCACUCGUCUCCUUCAGCCAUGUGAUCCUACUUCUGUGGGACACUUUGGAGAGUACAUAGACCAGCAUCAGAGACCCAUCUCACGGUCCCCAGCCCAUGGAAUGGCAACACCCACAUUUUUCCCACCUCAACCCAGUCUAGAAGACAUCUCACAGACAUGCCCAGAGGCUGUCUCAUGGGUGAUUCUAGACCCUGACAAGCUGACGAAAUGAUGAUGCAGGUCCUGGCUCACCAGUCACUGUUUUCAUGCACGAAUCACUGUACCAGCAGCCCACAGCCUGCUUCUGCAUCUUGGUUUUGCCGCGGGAGUCAAUGUACUGAAAUCAGUGUUGGCUGAUUUCAAUUUUGCCAUCAUUUUCCAGAAGGAGGCACCAUACAGCAGGCCCCCAUUUGCCAACAAUCUGGCCUUCUUGGUUCAUUUGGCCAUACCACUGUGACCUAGACCAGAGCCUGAAGAACUCACGUAAUGCUCUGAUACAUGCACAUCACCAUGUGAUGACUGAACUGGGUUGCACACCCACCCUGGGUGAUCUGAGUGCACAGUGAACUCUGAGAUGCCCUGGUCUACAACACAGACUUGUACACGGAGAAGUACAAGAUGAGAAGAGUGCACGGAAUGGCCGGAUGGAAGAAAGGUAAGGACAUCACGCUAACCUCAAGAGGCUCCUCUCUCCAGACCAGACCAGCCUCUGCCCUCCCCCGGUUGCUCUCAAGCUCGGCAAUUCAGAGAUUUGAGGACCUCAGCAACCUUCCUUAUUUAUGGUUUAGUAUCUUAGGCAAGAGCAGUAACUGAUUAAAACCCAUUCAGAAGAGGCCUGAAGUUUGGGCUAGAAAGUGCUAGUGUGAGUCGGCAUCCAUUUGAAAAGAUAAAUGGUCUCUAUACCUGGGGACAAAGAAAACUGGGCCAAACACAAGGAGAACAUGCCAGAGGAGGGCCCCGCAAAUAAUUAGCAGCUAAUUUUAGCCCAUCAGCUUACCUAUUUU